UACAGAGGUCUCAAGCGUUGUUCGGAUUCAUUGGGCGUAAAGGGUGCGUAGGCGGCGCGGUAAGUCGGGUGUGAAAUCUUGGAGCUUAACUCCGAAACUGCAUUCGAUACUGCCGUGCUUGAGGACUGGAGAGGUGAGUGGAACUGCGAGUGUAGAGGUGAAAUUCGUAGAUAUUCGCAAGAACACCAGUGGCGAAGGCGGCUCACUGGCCCGGUACUGACGCUGAGGUGCGAAAGCGUGGGGAGCAAACAGG
rnacentral:rRNA from 1 species